AAGAAACUAACCUCUGUCUUGUUGGUAACCUGUUCUGACGAGAGACUCACAUGUUAAAGGCAUGCUUAGGGACAGUUCCCUUAAACCAAACCGUCUUAGUCCACGGUUUGGCAUCACUCCUAGCUAGCUUGGCCUUAAAAUCUCCCAUGCAUGUUCUUGAGGAGGAGUAACCAUGGCAUUAAGGAAUACCAUUUAUAGCGUUAGUCCAGUAGUAUAUGUCAGUUGUAGAUGAAAGACUUUUGGUAGAGAGAGGGAUCGUCAUUAAGUGGGAUUAA
rnacentral:lncRNA from 1 species